rnacentral:rRNA from 1 species
CACGCGGGUUGCGAGCGUUGUCCGGAAUUACUAGGCGUAAAGGGCAGGCAGGCGGAUCCAUAAGUUUAUCGUUUAAGGCGUCGGCUUAACCGGCGUAGGGCGGUAGAUACUGUGGAUCUGGAAUGCGGUUGGGGAAGACAGAAUUCCUGGUGUAGCGGUGGAAUGCGCAGAGAUCAGGAGGAAUACCGAAGGCGAAGGCAGUCUUCCAAGCCGUUAUUGACGCUCAACUGCGAAGGUGUGGGUAUCAAACAGGAUUAGAUACCCUGGUAGUCCCU